UACGGGGGGAGCAAGCGUUGUUCGGAUUUACUGGGCGUAAAGGGCGCGUAGGCGGUCAGCACAAGUCAGUUGUGAAAUCUCCGGGCUUAACCCGGAAAGGUCAACUGAUACUGUGCGACUAGAGUGCGGAAGGGGCAACUGGAAUUCUUGGUGUAGCGGUGAAAUGCGUAGAUAUCAAGAGGAACACCUGCGGCGAAGGCGGGUUGCUGGGCCGGCACUGACGCUGAAGCGCGAAAGCCAGGGGAGCGAACGGG
rnacentral:rRNA from 1 species